rnacentral:rRNA from 1 species
AUUGAACGCUGGCGGCAUGCUUUACACAUGCAAGUCGAACGGUAACAGGCCGCAAGGUGCUGACGAGAGGCGAACGGGUGAGUAAUGCAUCGGAACGUGCCCAGUCGUGGGGGAUAACGCAGCGAAAGCUGCGCUAAUACCGCAUACGAUCUAUGGAUGAAAGCGGGGGACCGAAAGGCCUCGCGCGAUUGGAGCGGCCGAUGUCAGAUUAGGUAGUUGGUGGGGUAGAGGCCUACCAAGGCGACGAUCUGUAGCUGGUCUGAGAGGACGACCAGCCACACUGGGACUGAGACACGGCCCAGACUCCUACGGGAGGCAGCAGUGGGGAAUUUUGGACAAUGGGCGCAAGCCUGAUCCAGCCAUGCCGCGUGUGGGAAGAAGGCCUUCGGGUUGUAAACCACUUUUGUCAGGGAAGAAACGGCUCUUACUAAUAUUAGGAGCUAAUGACGGUACCUGAAGAAUAAGCACCGGCUAACUACGUGCCAGCCGCCGCAGUAAUAC